AGGCGAACCGGGGGAACUGAAACAUCUAAGUACCCCGAGGAAAAGAAAUCAACCGAGAUUCCCCCAGUAGCGGCGAGCGAACGGGGAGGAGCCCAGAGCCUGAAUCAGCAUGUGUGUUAGUGGAAGCGUCUGGAAAGGCGCGCGAUACAGGGUGACAGCCCCGUACACAAAAGCGCAUGUGCUGUGAGCUCGAUGAGUAGGGCGGGACACGUGGUAUCCUGUCUGAAUAUGGGGGGACCAUCCUCCAAGGCUAAAUACUCCUGACUGACCGAUAGUGAACCAGUACCGUGAGGGAAAGGCGAAAAGAACCCCGGCGAGGGGAGUGAAAAAGAACCUGAAACCGUGUACGUACAAGCAGUGGGAGCACCCUUCGGGGUGUGACUGCGUACCUUUUGUAUAAUGGG
rnacentral:rRNA from 1 species